UGGGGAAUUUUGGACAAUGGGCGAAAGCCUGAUCCAGCAAUGCCGCGUGUGUGAAGAAGGCCUUCGGGUUGUAAAGCACUUUUGUCCGGAAAGAAAUCCUUGGCUCUAAUACAGUCGGGGGAUGACGGUACCGGAAGAAUAAGCACCGGCUAACUACGUGCCAGCAGCCGCGGUAAUACGUAGGGUGCAAGCGUUAAUCGGAAUUACCGGGCGUAAAGCGUGCGCAGGCGGUUUGCUAAGACCGAUGUGAAAUCCCCGGGCUCAACCUGGGAACUGCAUUGGUGACUGGCAGGCUAGAGUAUGGCAGAGGGGGGUAGAAUUCCACGUGUAGCAGUGAAAUGCGUAGAGAUGUGGAGGAAUACCGAUGGCGAAGGCAGCCCCCUGGGCCAAAUACUGACGCUCAUGCACGAAAGCGUGGGGAGCAAACAGGAUUAGAUACCCUGGUAGUCCACGCCCUAAACGAUGUCAACUAGUUGUUGGGGAUUCAUUUCCUUAGUAACGUAGCUAACGCGUGAAGUUGACCGCCUGGGGAGUACGGUCGCAAGAUUAAAACUCAAAUGAAUUGAC
rnacentral:rRNA from 1 species